GGUCUGGUGGUCAUAGCGCGAGCAAAACACCCGAUCCCUUCCCGAACUCGGAAGUUAAGUGCCGCCGCGGCAAUGGUACUGCGUCUCAAGACGUGGGAGAGUAGCUCGCCGCCAGACCUG
rnacentral:rRNA from 1 species